rnacentral:rRNA from 1 species
UCAGAUUGAACGCUGGCGGCAUGCCUUACACAUGCAAGUCGAACGGCAGCGCGGGAGCAAUCCUGGCGGCGAGUGGCGAACGGGUGAGUAAUACAUCGGAACGUGCCCAAUCGUGGGGGAUAACGCAGCGAAAGCUGUGCUAAUACCGCAUACGAUCUACGGAUGAAAGCAGGGGAUCGCAAGACCUUGCGCGAAUGGAGCGGCCGAUGGCAGAUUAGGUAGUUGGUGAGGUAAAGGCUCACCAAGCCUUCGAUCUGUAGCUGGUCUGAGAGGACGACCAGCCACACUGGGACUGAGACACGGCCCAGACUCCUACGGGAGGCAGCAGUGGGGAAUUUUGGACAAUGGGCGAAAGCCUGAUCCAGCCAUGCCGCGUGCAGGAUGAAGGCCUUCGGGUUGUAAACUGCUUUUGUACGGAACGAAACGGUCUUUUCUAAUAAAGAAGGCUAAUGACGGUACCGUAAGAAUAAGCACCGGCUAACUACGUGCCAG